UACGUAGGUGACCAGCGUUGUCCGGAUUUACUGGGCGUAAAGGGCGCGUAGGCGGCCACUGCAAGUCGGUUGUGAAAUCUCCGGGCUUAACCCGGAAAGGUUCAAUCGAUACUGCAGGGCUAGAGUGCAGAAGGGGCAACUGGAAUUCUCGGUGUAGCGGUGAAAUGCGUAGAUAUCGAGAGGAACACCUGCGGCGAAGGCGGGUUGCUGGGCUGACACUGACGCUGAAGCGCGAAAGCUAGGGGAGCGAACGGG
rnacentral:rRNA from 1 species